UACGUAGGGUGCGAGCGUUAAUCGGAAUUACUGGGCGUAAAGCGUGCGCAGGCGGUUGUGCAAGACAGAUGUGAAAUCCCCGGGCUUAACCUGGGAACUGCAUUUGUGACUGCACGGCUAGAGUGUGUCAGAGGGGGGUAGAAUUCCACGUGUAGCAGUGAAAUGCGUAGAGAUGUGGAGGAAUACCGAUGGCGAAGGCAGCCCCCUGGGCCAAUACUGACGCUCAUGCACGAAAGCGUGGGGAGCAAACAGG
rnacentral:rRNA from 1 species